CAGUAGCCGCGGUAAUACGAAGGGCGCAAGCGUUACUCGGAAUUACUGGGCGUAAAGCGUGCGUAGGUGGUGGUUUAAGUCCGUUGUGAAAGCCCUGGGCUCAACCUGGGAAUUGCAGUGGAUACUGGAUCACUAGAGUGUGGUAGAGGAUAGUGGAAUUUCCGGUGUAGCAGUGAAAUGCGUAGAGAUCGGAAGGAACAUCUGUGGCGAAGGCGACUAUCUGGGCCAACACUGACACUGAGGCACGAAAGCGUGGGGAGCAAACAGGAUUAGAUACCCCAGUAGUCCCUGUCUCUUAUAC
rnacentral:rRNA from 1 species